CCCGCUGAAUUUAAGCAUAUUAAUCAGUGGAAGAAAAGAAACUAACCAGGAUUCCCUCAGUAACGGCGAGUGAACAGGGAAGAGCCCAGCAUUGAAUCCCUGCCCCGCGGUGGGGCGCAGGAAAUGUGACGUACAGAAGAUCCACUCCCCGGCACCACUUGUGGAGGGCCCAAGUCCUUCUGAUCGAGGCCCAGCCCGUGGACGGGCCCAGGUCUUCCUGGAGUCGUGUUGCUUGGGAAUGCAGCCCAAAACAGGUGGUAAACUCCAUCUAAGGCUAAAUACUGGCACGAGACUGAUAGUCAACAAGUACCAUAAGGGAAAGUUGAAAAGAACUUUGAAUCUACCAACCCCAUACUCAUGGUGGAUUUAAGACAAACUCUGGUACUCAACUCAUCCUGUGACCCUGCACAGUCAUGCCAACCUAGAUAGACAAGACCAAACAGUGGAUCUGCUACCUCAGAACAUCUAGAUCUUGUUCUUCUUCUUUUAUUUUUUCCUCUUUAUGUAUAUAUAUAUAUAUAUCAGUGAUUUAAUAAUGAUUAACAAGAUCUUAAGAUAACAGUGGCACAAUUCCACACAGUUUCCAGCGCUAGAGUUCCAUGUCCCAUCCCUUCCAUUGGAAGCUUCCCUAUUCUUUUUUUUUUCUAAUAUUUAUUUAUUCCCUUUUGGUACCCUUGUUGUUUCAUUG
rnacentral:ncRNA from 1 species